GACGAACGCUGGCGGCAUGCCUAACACAUGCAAGUCGAACGAAGCCUUCGGGCUUAGUGGCGCACGGGUGCGUAACGCGUGGGAACCUACCAUCAGGUUCGGAAUAACAGUUAGAAAUGACUGCUAAUACCGGAUAAUGUCUUCGGACCAAAGAUUUAUCGCCUUUUGAUGGGCCCGCGUAAGAUUAGGUAGUUGGUGGGGUAAAGGCCUACCAAGCCGACGAUCUUUAGCUGGUCUGAGAGGAUGAUCAGCCACACUGGGACUGAGACAUGGCCCAGACUCCUACGGGAGGCAGCAGUGGGGAAUAUUGGACAAUGGGCGAAAGCCUGAUCCAGCAAUGCCGCGUGAGUGAUGAAGGCCUUAGGGUUGUAAAGCGCUUUCACCUGUGAUGACGAUGACAGUAGCAGGAGAAGAAGCCCCGGCUAACUCCGUGCCAGCAGCCGGCGGUAAAGU
rnacentral:rRNA from 1 species